rnacentral:rRNA from 1 species
AGUAUAUUGUUGUGCGAGCUUAAGAUCUUCACGAUCGUAGGCGUAGGGAAACCAACAAGUCCGCAAAAUCUAUAGGGACGGGGUCUUAAGGGCCCGGAGUCACAGCAAUAUGACCCGAAACCGGGNGAUCUAGGCCGGGGCAAGGUGAAGUCCCUNAACUGAGGGAUGGAGGCCUGCAGAGUUGUUGCNGUUCGAAG